GGGACCGCGGACUGGAUUUCGACUUCCAAAUUCCCACGAGGUAUAGGAGUCUGAGGGUUGCACAGGACCUUAUGCAUUGUUUGACUCCUCCAGAGCCUUUAGAGAAACUUCUAUCAGGCCCGCCUGCUAGGCACUAGUCGGGGAGAUAAUGUAGCCAGGGAGAUGUGGCGGACAGAAAGGGCAGAGAGGCUCUCUGAGGAGCGGAUGGAGGAUCGUGGGCCGCUUUACUGAGAAGGAAGAGACCCUGCGAGAAGGAGUAGUGUCGACUUGGUCCCGUCAGCCGGACCCCACCUGGACGGCUGGGGCCACUUGUGGUCGCCGGGAGGUCCCUCCAUCGACUGGUGGGUGUGAAGAUCCUCCUCUCCACAUCCUCCCCUAGCUGCUCUGGCUCUCUCCGUGGGCUCUCCUGCUCCUUUUCUAGCUGGACCCAUCUCCGCUGUUGCUCCCUGGCCAGGUCUUCCAGAUUCCACUGCCGCAGCUUCUCCUGAUGCUCCUGCUCCAGCAGGGCCCACUUCUUCUGCCGCUGCUGCCACAUCUCCUCCUCCUCCAGCCACAGCUGCCUCCGCAUCUCCCGGCCGAAUUCCUCCUCCCAGGGCUCCUCUUGGCUCUCAGAGGUCACCUGCCUGGAGCUCUCUAGAGACAGCUGCUUGCUACAGUGGAACUUAAUUUGGAGUCCUCCCUUCUGGAAGUAGUCCUCCUGGUCUUUGUCUUUGUGGCCUAAGCUUUCUGCCACCGGUCUUUCCCAUUUCUUAGGAAACCUGCGAUCUACUAAGGGUAAAAGCACAGGCUCAAGGCUCUCAGUGUCCUUGCUGCCGAACACAUCUGCGACCCUCGAGCGCACAGUCAUGGUGGAAAGUGGCUGGUGCCCUGCAGCUAUAGCACCACUGUCCCGUAUCAUGGCCAUGGGACUUGGGGGAAGUGGCGAGAACAACUGCUCCUCCUUCAUCGGUUCCUGUUGGCUUUCCUCCAUGACUGUUUCUUUCCUUGGGAGGGUCUCUCUCUCAGAGGGACCUGGGGAGUCAACAGAAACCUCAGCCAGGUCUUCUGCCUGACCUGUAGCAUUCUGAGCCUUCUUCAGCUGGAACUCCAAGGCCUGCUUCAUCAGGAGAAGGUCAUGGUACCUUCCCCCUAAGAUCUCUACCUGCUUCAGCAGAGCAUCCCUCCUGCUCUCAAGGACCUCCAUGAACUGCUGGAAGUGCAGCCUCUGGCUGCUGAGCUCUUUGGUCGCCUGCAUUUGCAGGUGCCUGUAUUUGGUCUCCAGGCUCCUGUUCUCCUUGUGUUGGAGGAUCAAGGCCUUGUUGAGGUUCUCCACCACAGUGGCCAUGUACCUGAUGGCCCUGACCUCCCCCUUGCUGAACAUGGUAGAGUCCAGGAGCUCCUGCAGCAUGGACGUCACCUCCGAGGCCUUCGUGUUCAUGGAGCAUGGAGGUGAUGUGCUGUGACACGAGUGGUGGAAUGCUUCACUGGAGAAGGGGAUGUGUCCUGUGCUGUCCCUGUGCUCGCCACCCACACUCCCCUCCCAGAGGAGGCACGGUGCCCAGCCUGCAAACUCACCCCAGUCACCCAGCCAGCGGAGAAUGUCAUACAGGUGCUUCUCCUUCAUCAUAGCAUCUUUGGAGAAGGAGGCAAUUUUUUCCAGCAAGAUGAAUCUCUUCUUGCCCUUUGGAUCUCUCUGCUGAGAUUUGGCAUUUUCUUUUAAAUCAUAUCCUAAUUCUUCCUGGAAGCGGUUGAUGACACAAUUGACAUUGUCCAAAAUGUCUGAGAGCUGGGUAGAAAUAUCCUAUAGAGAAGCAGCAGAUUGUAGUGUUAGGGCUGUGGACUUGAGCCAGAAGCCACAUGCUAGCAGCGUGACCUUGGACAAGUCGCUUAGCCUCUUUGGGUCUCAGUUUUCUUAUAUUUAAAGUGGGAAUCAUUAUAGUACCUAUGUCACAGGGUUUCUGUAAGGAUUAAAUGAAUUAAAUAUUUUAAAGUGCUUUUAAUAGUACCUGGCACAUUACACAAAAGUGGUAGCUUUUAUUAUCAUUGUGAUUAUUAAGAAGGUCAAGAAAGUAUAGAACACCAAAACCCCACAGCAAACAUUUCUUUAGAAUUUCAGAGGUUGCUGGGGGUUUCUGGAUGUCUUUCCUCACAAGGAUCCACAGGCAACAGAAGCUUGGAAAAGUGAGGCCCCAAGAAACUCUAGGAUCAGAGGCUCAAGUAAAAAAUGUACUAGAGCCUCGUGUACAGGGUGAUUUGAGCCUUUGGACAUUUCCCCAACCCCUAUGAACUUCCUGGGCUCAGCUUGGGGGAUUCUGGAGGGUUGCCAAGAACAGAUUCUGGGUCCUUUCUCCUGCCCUCUAAAACCCACCACACCACCACGAUGUGCCUCAGGGCUAUCCUCGAGCUUCCUGCCCCCUUCCCGGGCCCCAGCCCUGCCUCAGGCGGGUGGUUGCUUUCAGCUCACCCUGUAUAUGCCAAGUUUAGGAGAGAGAUAAUUUAUACUAAUCUGUCUGCAGACCCAGGUUGCUGAAUAUCCCAGGGCCUCUGAGGACCCAGAGCUGGAAUCUCACUCAAACCUGGGAUCAGCCCCCAGUCUCCGCAUCAGAUCCCAAUGUAAGAGUGAUUCCUUCAUCUCAGGGGCUACCUCUUGAGCCCGAGUUAGCUGGGCAGCCUCAAUCCUCAGGAUGAUGGCUUUCACUGAUGUGGGAGUCACCAACUGUGGGGGGUCAUCCUUCUCCAUUUUGGAUCACUCUGUCAGUCACAAAACAUCCUGUGUUUCUGGUCCACAGGCCUGGACACACAAUGUUGCCUGCUUUGGAGGUUAAGGGCACCAGGGUGUCUCCUGGGUACCCUCUGCCCAGGCACAGCUCCUCUGGUAACUGCCAAACACCAGGUUCCAACUGAUCCUCUUUUCCCCAGUGACAUCAUCAGUUUGAUUAGAAGAAUUAGGAGAUGAGACUCCCCACUAUCUAGCUUUUUGUCCAUUACCUAACAUAUAUUUACUUGACUUGUUGCCUUUUCUUUUUUUUUUUUUUUUUUUGAGACGGAGUCUCCCUCUGUAGCCCAGGCUGGAGUGCAGUGGUGUGAUCUCGGUCACUGCAACCUCCACUUCCUGGGUUCAAGUGAUUCUCCUGGCUCAGCCUCCUGAGUAGCUGGGAUUACAGGUGCGUGCCACCACGCCUGGCUAAUUUAUUUUUUGUAUUUUUAGUAAAGACGGGGUUUCACUGUGUUAGCGAGGAUGGUCUCGAUCUCCUGACCUCGUGAUCCACCCACCUUAGCCUCCCAAAGUGCUGGGAUUACAGGUGUGAGCCACCGUGCCCGGCCUACUUGUUGCUUUUUAAAAAUUACUAAAUGUUAUGCUCCCAAACAAAACAUUAAUGUCUACAAAUAAGAAAAAGCAAUUAGCAAAAGUUAUUUUCCUGAAUAAAAUAUUUUAAAUUUGUAAAAAUUAGAGCCAAUCAAUAACCAAAUGGAAGCCAGGCUCAGUGGCUCACGCCUGUAAUCCCAACAAUUUGGGAGGCUGAGGUGGGAGGAUCACUUGAGCCCAGGAGUUUGAGACCAGCCUGGGCAACAUGGUGAGAGCCUAGCUCUACAAAAAAAUUUAAAAAAUAGCCAGGCAUGGUGGCGCAUGCCUGGGAUCCCAACUACUUGAGAGGUUGAGAUGGGAGGAUCACUUGAGCCCAGGAGGUCAAGGCUGCAGUGAGCCAUGUUCACGCCACUACACCCCAGCCUAGGUGAUAGAUACCCUGACACACACACACACACACACACACACACACACACACACACAAACAUACAGAGGGAGGAACAUCCCAUAAUGCUAAAGAUGUCAAUUAAUAAGGAGAACAUAAUUCUAAAUGUGUAUAUACCUAAUAACAUUGCUUCAAAAUACAUGAAGUAAAAAGCUUCCAGAACUGAAAGGAGGAAUAGGUAAAUCCAAAAUUAUAGUUGGAGAUUCCAGCACUUCUCUUGCAGGAGUUGAUAGAAGUAGCAAAAAAUAAAAAGUAUAGAGGUUUUGAAAAAUACUAUCAACCAACUUGACUCCAUUGACAGUCAUAGAACACUUCACCCAACAACAGGACACAUAUUAUUCCCUACGCAUAUGGAACAAUGAUCAUAUAAACCAUAAUUUGGGCCAUAAAACAAGUAUCAAUUACCCUAAGAAGUCUAAAAUAAUACAAAAUAUGUUCUCUGACCACUAUGGUAUUAAACUAUAAAUCAAUAAUUGAGAGAUCUUUGGAAAAUUCCCAAAUAUUUUACAAAUUAAGCAACAUACUUCCAUAUAACCCUGAGUCAAAAAAGAAAUCACAGGGAAAGUUAUGAAAUACUUUGAACCGAGCAAAAAUAGAAACAUAUCACAAUUUUGAGGAUGCUGCCAAAUCAGUGCUUAGAGGAAAAAACUAGAAAAGGAAGAACAAAAAAACCCAAAAUAAGCAGAAGGAAGGAAAUAAUAAGAAUAAGAAUAGAGACCAAUAGAAAACAAACAAAAAUAGAAGAAAAUCA
rnacentral:lncRNA from 1 species